rnacentral:rRNA from 1 species
GUCUUAUCGAUAUUAAUUUUAAGUCAAUCUGCCCAAUGAUUUUAAAUUAAAUGGCUGCAGUAUAAUUAACUGUACAAAGGUAGCAUAAUCAAUUGUUUUUUAAUUAAAAACUAGAAUGAAAGAAUUAAUGAGAUAUAUACUGUCUCAUAUAUAUAUAAUAAAUUUAAAUUUUUAGUAAAAAUGCUUAAAUUAUUUUAUGGGACGAUAAGACCCUAUAGAAUUUUAUAUUAAUAUUUAAUUAAUUAUUUAAUUAUAAUAUUAAUAUUUAAUUGGGAGGAUUAAUAAAUUAAAUAAACUUUAUUUUUAAAAUAAACUUUAAUUUUAGAAUAUAUAAUUUUGAUCUUAUAUUAUAAAUUAAAAAAAUAAAUUACCUUAGGGAUAACAGCGUAAUAUCUUUUUAAAGAUCAUAUUAAUAAAGAUGUUUGCGACCUCGAUGUUGAAUUAAGAUAAAUUUUAGGUGAAGAAAUCUAAAUAUUAAGUCUGUUCGACUUUUAAAAUCUUACAUGAUUUGAGUUCAAAUCGACGUGAGU